rnacentral:rRNA from 1 species
UACGAAGGGGGCUAGCGUUGCUCGGAAUCACUGGGCGUAAAGGGUGCGUAGGCGGGUCUUUAAGUCAGGGGUGAAAUCCUGGAGCUCAACUCCAGAACUGCCUUUGAUACUGAGGAUCUUGAGUCCGGGAGAGGUGAGUGGAACUGCGAGUGUAGAGGUGAAAUUCGUAGAUAUUCGCAAGAACACCAGUGGCGAAGGCGGCUCGCUGGACCGGAACUGACGCUGAGGCGCGAAAAGCGUGGGGAGCAAACAGG